GUAGGUGAACCUGCGGAAGGAUCAUUACCGAGUUAGGGUCUCCUGUAGGCCCGACCUCCCAACCCUUUGUCUACAUUACCACUUGUUGCUUCGGCGGGCCCGUCUUCACGGACCGCCGGAGGACCGUCAAAACGUCCUCUGGCCCGCGCCCGUCGGUAGCCCCCAACCACAAACUCUUGAACAAAACGUGUCAUUAUCUGAGUACAAUUGUUAAUAAAGCAAAAACUUUCAACAACGGAUCUCUUGGUUC
rnacentral:misc_RNA from 1 species